rnacentral:other from 1 species
GGUGCUCGACCCUGUACGUGGCCUCGUCGCAAACUGUUGAACCAACAGCACUACAAAGGGAGCCUGCGUCCGACAAGCCUUCGGGCGUAGUCGGCAGGGCACCCACCUGGCUCGUCCAGGUUCGCAAUGCGGCGGGGAGCAUCGGCAGGGUGGGGCACUU